AUUUUAAAAGGUUUUUUGUUUCGUAUAAUCAUAUCAAGUUUUAUUUGGUUAUUAUCAUUAAAGGAUUAUUUCUUAACUUUGUAGAAAUGAAAAUUUCCAGCCAUUAUGAAUCUCGACGCGUAUUCAUUUGACGAUUAUCGGAAUAAUGGGUCGAUUUACGUACGUUUUACGUUGCAAUUUUUCAAUCGUAAACGUGGAACUGGACGUUUCAUAAGGCGGUUACAAAAUUUCGCGUUAGAGUGUAUCCUUCGCGCGAGAGCAUAAAUCUCCGGAACGAUCGCUCUCCGAGACGACGUCCCGUUCCUUUUUUUAACCGUGAGAUGCAAAAAGGAUUGCGCCUUCGCCUUCCCUUCUCUUCCCUUCCCUUCCCUUCCCGUCGAACGCGUAAUAAAAAUUUUACGAUAACUCGCUCGUUAGCGCGAUUUUACGGCUCGUGAAAUCGAGCCGCCAUGUUGAAAGGGAUCGCUCGUGAUCCUCGAAUCGGUCCAAUUUGUCCAAUCCAUCCGUUUUUACAACGCGAAAUUGGGAAUUAUUUACCGUCUAACCUGUAUGUAAAUAUGUAUUAAUAAACAAAAUUGAGGUGCUUGGGAUAAUUGACGACGUUGAUAAGAUUAAAAGGUUAAAGGGGCAUAUUUCACUCGGCGAGAGGUUAGGUUAGGUUUGCGCAACAGUGUGCACAACGUUCGCUCGUAAAUAUGAAUAAAAUAUAAUAACGUAUCAUUAUUCCGUAAUUUAAAGAGUUUCCAUCCUCCGAGUCAACUUAUUAAUUUAAAUUGGACGUAAAGAGUCACGGUGUAUGUACAAGUAAUGUAACAUGUAAAUAAUAAUUACGAUAAAUAACCCUUUUGCAUCGAUAUCGCUGUAUCUUCGUAUAAAUUAACAAAAAUAAAAUACUUGCCGCAAAUAAAUUCCAAACCGAAUCUCUUCCCUCUUCUUUUCGAUCGAAAAUUGUUAACCUGGAAAAAAUUAAAUAUAUUCUUCUAUUAAAACGACGUUAGACUCGAUCGAAAAGAAUUAAAUCGUAUCAAGAAUCGCGAGGAAAGGUACGAGGAAACGAGCGACAACGUGGACACGAAUAAUACGUCAGCGAUACAUGGAAAAACACGUUCGUAAACAGGCCCCGGUCUAUUUAACUCGUUGUACCGUGCCAGACAGCCAUUGACGUUUUUACUUUGCUCGUUGAUUUGUUAUUCGCCGUGGCGUGGCGCUGCGACAAGUGGAAACGGCGCAAGUGGACCGGUCUCCAACCGUGGCUUCGUGUAACCUAAAAGAAGAUAUUAAAUCGGUCUGCUUCGUUCGGGAGUAUGUUAAUUAGGCGUCGGAUCGUGUGGCGGUGUAGCAACUCCGUGCGUGCGUCACCACCACUGCUUCUUUUUGAUCUGCUUUCAGUAACUUAUUGCCUCAUGGUUAAGGGGGAUACGCGUGGAAUGAUGAAUGCGAGGCGGACACAGCUGUGCGCGAACAUGCGCCGUGAGAAACGUGGAGACGGUUACGUUGUUUCGCGAGGGAUCGCCCCGAUGAGAAUUAAUUUAAACGAAAUGGAUACGAAGCAUCUACUGUAUAUGAUAAUACAUUGAAAUUAGAGAUACGGGCAGAGACUUAUUUGGAAUUAUCGAUCGAUUUAAUUUUCAAUUCCAAGUUUAACGAUGUAUUGAAAUAUUUAUACUAUUCCAAUCGAUUAGUUUUUUUCUUUGGCAAAACAACAUUUAAAUUAGUUUAUUUGCAUUUUGCAUUUUGAUGAACAUCUAAUAUUUCGAAGAACGACGCAAUUGAGAAAAGUCAAUUGGAUUCGAUAUUAAUCAAGUAUGAAUAAGAAUUGAAUGUAUAUUUAAUGACACAACAGCGCGGAGAAUGAGGAUAUGCACGCGGAAUGCGAGAGGAAAGCUGGAUCGGCUUCAAUUUGCAGUUUCUCGAAUUACCAUCGUAAUUUUGAAAUUAUUUAGGAUCUCUCACAUGUCUUUUUUCAUAAUAAAAAAACUGUCGAACGCUUCAAAAUUUUCAUUUCUCCUCUACCACCAAGAAUUCAAAAUAUAAAAAUUCUCUUGAUUUUAGAGAAGCCAUAACGCAAUAAUAAAGGUACACGAUACUCGAGAAUUUUGAACAAGUCGAACUGAUGGAAAAAAAAAUAACAAAACUUACUUAGCCUCGCUUCAAUAUUACUAUCCAAGAAAGAUUUUGGAAAAGCCAUAACGCAAUACUCGAGAAUUUUGAACAAGUCAAAGUGAUAGAAAAAAAAAAUCCAAGAAAGAUUUUGAAGAAGCCAUAAUACAAUAAUAAAGAUAUACAAUACUCAAAAAUUUUGAAUAAAUUGAAGUUAUGGAAAAAAAAAUCCAAGAAAGAUUUUAGAGAAGCCAUAACACAAUAAUAAAGAUAUAUAAUACUCGAGAAUUUUGAACAAGUCAAAGUAAUGGAAAAAAAAAAUCCAAGAAAGAUUUUGGAGAAGCCAUACUCGAGAAUUUUGAACAAGUCAAAGUGAUGGAAAAAAAAAUCCAAGAAAGAUUUUGGAAAAGCCAUAACGCAAUAUUCGAGAAUUUUGAACAAGUCAAAGUGAU
rnacentral:lncRNA from 1 species